UACGGGGGGGGCAAGCGUUGUUCGGAAUUACUGGGCGUAAAGGGCUCGUAGGUGGCCAACUAAGUCGGACGUGAAAUCCCUCGGCUUAACCGGGGAACUGCGUCUGAUACUGGAUGGCUUGAGUUCGGGAGAGGGAUGCGGAAUUCCAGGUGUAGCGGUGAAAUGCGUAGAUAUCUGGAGGAACACCGGUGGCGAAGGCGGCCAUCUGGACCGGUUCUGACGCUGAGGCGCGAAAGCGUGGGGAGCAAACAGG
rnacentral:rRNA from 1 species